rnacentral:rRNA from 1 species
GACGAACGCUGGCGGCGUGCUUAACACAUGCAAGUCGAACGGAAAGGCCCUGCUUUUGUGGGGUGCUCGAGUGGCGAACGGGUGAGUAACACGUGAGUAACCUGCCCUUGACUUUGGGAUAACUUCAGGAAACUGGGGCUAAUACCGGAUAGGAUCUCCUGCUGCAUGGUGGGGGUUGGAAAGUUUCGGCGGUUGGGGAUGGACUCGCGGCUUAUCAGCUUGUUGGUGGGGUAGUGGCUUACCAAGGCUUUGACGGGUGGCCGGCCUGAGAGGGUGACCGGCCACAUUGGGACUGAGAUACGGCCCAGAAUCCUACGGGAGGCAGCAGUGGGGAAUAUUGCACAAUGGGCGGAAGCCUGAUGCAGCAACGCCGCGUGCGGGAUGACGGCCUUCGGGUUGUAAACCGCUUUCGCCUGUGACGAAGCGUGAGUGACGGUAAUGGGUAAAGAAGCACCGGCUAACUACGUG